AUGGUAGCGGCUGCGACUCAGAUAAUUCGGUUGCCGUUACAGUAUUGUGCAGACGCGACGGAGAUUCGAGUACGUCACGUCAGUCAGAUCAAACGGGUAUUGGAGCUACUCAGAAGGAACAGAGAUAUGAUGAUGUUCAAUGAGGUUAAGUUGACCAUCAUGAUCCAGGAUCCAAGCAAACUGGAAAAAAGGAGGCUGCUUGGAAUAGAAAAUGCGGAUGGCCCCUAGUAGGGAAGACUUGGCUGAAGCCUUGGAGCAGGUAGAUGAAGGAAAAAUCCCUAAAGAUAGUCUCACUCUCCAGAUGCUCCAUGAGGAAAUGAUCCGUUGGCCAAAUUUAGAGCUUGAGGUUUCAAAGAAGCAGCGAGGAAAAUCAUUGUACGUGAAGUGAAAUCCACAGACACCGGAAUAGAUCCAAAAGAAGCAGCCAAGAGACUCAACGUAGACUGCGACUCAGCUGCUGCAAUUGAAGAAGCUGACGAGACUGGAGUAGCCAGCAAAGCCAUGGGUUAUGGAGCCUUGUACUUAGUCUCGUCAUUUCCAGUUAUCAUUGGUAUCUCGGUUGUGUUCAUCUUGUUUUACAAUUCCCUUCAGUAGAUUCAAAAUCAUUUAGAUUUUACAUGCACCACCAUCACCAGUGAACCAUCAUCAAUGUUUUUUGACUUAAGAUUAUGAAAUAAAUUUCAAUUAUUUAAUCACAUUCUUCCUCAAUCAACGCCUUGUGGUAUGCACAAACUCGGAUAAAUACUCCAAAUCUUUUGGUACUAUUAUUAUUAAGUGUUGUUCGUGCGAACAUAUCUUAUCUCGAUCAGAUCGUGUCUCAAUCUUGGGCAUGGUCCCAUGUAAAUAAUGUUAUAAAACUUAAACUUAGGUAUCUUUUUAUGUUUUAUUGUAAUAAAGUCAAUAACCUUUUGGCUGAGACUACUAAUACGCAGGUAAAAGAAAAAAGAAAAGCUGGACGUGCAAAUCAUGACUUAGCCACCAUUAGCCACCAAACGUGCAGUCCAUGCUUACUCUCUCUCUCUCUCUCUAUAAUUAGCCACCAUCUCGUUGAUAAUUUGUGGGAUUAUGAGAGCUUCUAAGUGUUUUAACCGUGAUGAAGCACACGAACAAAGUAAAAAGGAGUGAAGUAACCGUAAGUAUUUGAGAGAGGAGAGAAAUUUGAGAAUUUAAGAGAAUGAGAGGAUUUGUGAGAUUGAGAGAAUGAAAGAAAUGUUUGUAUUGAAUUGUGUGUUUAAUUGUGUAACAUACAUGGUGUAUUUAAAGGAAACAAAAGCAAUAAGCACUCAA